UUUUUCAUGGGUUUCUUCUCUGUACUUCUAUGCCUAAUUCUCUGCUCUUUCGAGAACGGAUUUGCUUCGGCAGCAAGAGAUACAAAACCCCACCUUCUGCCACAUACCACUCACACAGUUGAAGUAAACUCUCUUCUACCAGCAACCACCUGCAGCCCCUCCACCAAAGGUUAAUUCAUCCCAUAUUAUAUAUAUAUAUAUAUAUAAAACUUAAUUUCAAUGCAUUUAUGUAUCUCUAACACACACUCUCUCUCUCUAUGCAUACAUGUUUCGAUGAUCUCAGGUCAUAACAAUAACAAGGCAUCAUCGGUAUUGAAAGUGGUGCACAAACAUGGGCCAUGCUCCAAAUUCCACAAAUCAUCAAAAACUUCAACCACAACUAGUGAUGAAAAAUACCAUGCUCAAAUCCUCAAGCAAGACCAAGCCCGAGUCAACUCCAUCCACUCCCGCCUCAACCACAACAACAACAGCAGAAUCAAAGACCCACUCACCCAAUCCGCUGCUACCACCCUCCCCGCCAAGUCCGGUAUUGUUAUCGGCUCACCGAACUACAUUGUCACCGUCGGCCUCGGUACACCCGCCAAGCAACUCUCCCUCGUCUUCGACACUGGCAGCGACCUCACCUGGACCCAAUGCAAGGCAUGUUCUGCUACUCAGUCUUGUUACAAUCAGACUGAGCCCAUCUUCGACCCUUCUCUCUCCGCCUCAUACAAAAAUAUCUCAUGUACCACCGCCGCGUGUACUCAGCUCUCAUCCUCCGGCAUCGAACACCGCUGCUCCGCCUCCACCUCCGCCUGCCUCUACGCCGCCGGGUACGGAGACAUGUCCUUCACUAUCGGGGUCUUUGGCAGCGAAAAGCUUACAUUGACCCCCACGGACGUUUUUGAAGGUUUCCUCUUCGGCUGCGGCCUAGAUAACGAAGGCCUUUUCAGCGGAUCCGCCGGUUUGCUCGGUCUCGGCCGGAGCAGCACCUCCCUCGUCGAACAAACCGCCAAUAAAUACAACCGGUUCUUCUCCUACUGCCUCCCGUCUACUUCCAGCUCCACCGGUCACCUCACCUUCGGAGACGGAGGCUCCGCUAACGGCGUUAAGUUCACGAAGCUCAUCACGUCAUCCCAAAGCGAGUCGUUUUACGGCCUCGGCCUCGCCGGCAUCAAAGUCGGUGGGAGCCAGCUGUCGAUUGAGCCCUCAGUCUUUUCGUCUUCUGGAACGAUCAUCGACUCGGGGACUGUGAUCACGCGGUUGCCGGCGACGGCAUACGCGGCGUUGCGGGGCGCGUUUCGGGAGGCGAUGAAGAACUACACGCUGACUGAGUCGUUUUUGUUGCUGGACACGUGUUACGAUUUCAGCGGCUUGAACACGGUGACGUAUCCGAAGAUAGCGUUUAUGUUUGGGGAUGGACUUACGGUGGACUCGGACGCGACCGGGAUAUUGCUUCUGAUAAGUCCUUCGCAGGUUUGCUUGGCGUUUGCCGGAAACGAGGAUGAUAGUGACUUUGGGAUUAUUGGGAAUGUUCAACAGAAGAGGUUGGAGGUUGUGUAUGACGUCGCUGGAGGAAAAGUCGGAUUUGCCCCUGAAGGUUGCCCUUGAGUAAGGGAAAUACCCAUGUAGUUCUUAUUUUCUAGAUACUGGCCCCUGGCACAUGCAUGAUCUUGUGUCAAUUGGUUUUCUUUUAAAUAUAUAUUGUUUUUAGAAUUAAGAAAAGGUAAUAUAAAUAGUUAUGUUCUAUAAAAGUAGAAUCUAUUAUCUGAUUUUAUUUUAAUAUGAAUUUAUCAUAUUAUCCUUAUUUAAUUAAUAAUUUCAAUUUUUAAUGUUUGUAUUAAUUAAGGGCAUUUUUUGGUAUUUUAAAUAAUUUACCAUUCUCUGCAUUGCUUUAUAUAUAUAGAUAAUUUAACUAUUUCUAAAUAUUUAAGAUAAACCCAAAUUCGAAAUUUGCUGUCAUUUAAGAUAAUAUUUGUCCUAGUAUUAUCAAUUAAAUUACAAUAUGUGCCAUUAACCUUCGUUUGUUUGCAACUGUACAUUGAUUCUUUUCCUAAUAAACACUGUAUAGUCUCUUGGAUGCAUGAUCCCUUCCUUGCCGUAAAUUUGUAUUGAUUUCAUAAAAAGUAAUAAUCAAAAUAAUUGAUGUACUGAUUGGAAUUUGUUUUUAUUAUAUAUAAAUGGCACGUAUAUUAUUUUUACAAUGUGCCUACAAUGGUGCUCAUUUUUAAAUAAAAAUAAUUUACCUGUAUGACAUGUACUUAUAUUGUACCUUAUUAUCUUUUAUUGAUAAUAGGAACAUUAUGUAUUUUAAAAAGAGGUACGUUAUCUUAUAUUGAUAAUGUCAAUUUAUCUAUUAUCUCUUAUUGAUAAUAAUUUGGGAGAUUUUGGAAAAGCCCAAAGGAGAGAGAAAAUUUUUAAAAGAAGCCGAAAUGGACAAAAUUGCCCUUAUUUAUUUUUUGAUUUCUUAAGGAAUCUUUUACAUUUGCAUGUCUUUGGUUUGAAAGUUGAGAGGUUUUUCUGUCUUUUUUGAAAAAGCUUUGGCUUUUUUCAAAAGUGAAAAUUUUUUUAUGGGUAAAACCUAAAUUUACUUAAUAAAUAAUUUACCUAUUAUCUUGUACUAGCCUCUUUGCGUGCGCUUCUGCGCUUGCGAGAGGAUUUUUUUUAAAAAAAAUUUAUUUUAGAAUUAAAAAAGAUAAUUGGUAGUUGUGUUUCAUAAAAAUAGGAUCCAUUAUUUGAAUUUUCUUUUAAUUUUAUUUUUUUAAUAUGAAAAAGUGUGAAUUUACUAUAAUAUCCUCAUUUAAUUAAUAAUUUCAAUUCUUAAUAUUUGCAUUAACCAAUGGCAUUUUUUGGCAUUUUGAAUGUUUUAACAUUCUCUGCCUUUUGCUUUAUAUAUAUAGAUGAUAAUAGGUAAAUUAUUUUUAUAAAAUAUUUGGUACAUUAUUUUCAAAAAUGCGUUAAAUGAGUUGGGUAUAUUAUUUAAAUCAUAAGUAAAUCAUAAUAAAAAAAUGAUGCAUAAAGAGUAUUGAAUUGCAGUUACCAAAAAAACAAGUACUGAAUUGCAGGCUAAUUCCAGGUACUAAGACUUAAUACACCUACCAUAUAACAGGUUAAUUUGUAAAUAGGGGUAGUUUUGGAAUCUGAAAAAUAUAAUAAAUCAUAUUUUAAGUUAGAUUAGGUAACUUGCUUAGUUGGAUCUUAGUCAUAAGGUUUUAUUUGAAAAAAUUGGAUAUUUUAAAUAGAAAAAUAAAGAGAAGAACUACAGGUGAUUAAAAAUGAAUUUUAUGAGUCUAAGCUUAAUUUACUAUUCUUUUUUUAAUAUAACAUUUGUGUUUUAAAAAGCAAAAGGAAGACAAUAUGGUUUUUAUUUUUGUAUUGAAGUGAUAUUAUAAACUGAACCUAGAACUUUAGAUAUGGAAUAAAUAUUCUUAACAACUCGAAAAACAGCAGUUUGAAGAAAGAUUAGUGAACAUUCCAAAGUUUGGUGUACGGAUAUAGUUAAACUGAUUGUUUGAUCAGUUUAACUAUGGACUCUGUUGACUCAUUGACUUUGGGACCCAUGAGUAGUCGUGAGUCGUGACUAGGAAGGAACAGAAACGCAUGCAUGAUGCAUGCAGUACCUUCCUUCCAGACUCCGAGUCCACUUGGUAUUAAUUACACUAUUGACAUAUUGUAUGCAUAAUGUAUGUAUGUGUAUUGACAGAGAACCUUCUUACCUUCAUUUUCAUUUUUUGUCUUUUCCUUGAAAGAUAAUUAACAUAAGAGAACGGGUGGACAAAGUCGAUCGACCAAAAAAUGACAACAAAAAAAUUGUAACGGGUUAGGGCGGGGUUUGAGAACGAUGGUAUGGAGCAAAUGCUAGAAAAUUAAACCCUCCAAAUAGUUUAUAUAAGGCCAAUAGUAUGCUUAAACUUAAAUCUACAGCUAGCUAGGCUUGUUAACUAUAUUCAUUUCUAGCUCCUCCUCUUUCCUCAGGUUUUUUCAUGGGUUUCUUCUCUGUGUUUCUGUUCCUAAUUCUCUGCUCUUUCGAAAAGGCCAUUAUUGCUCUGGCAGCAACAAGUCCAGAACCCCACCUUCCGCCACACACUACUCACACAGUAGAAAUAAACUCUCUUCUACCAGCAACCACCUGCACCCCCUCCACCAAAGGUUAAUUCAUUUCAAACCCCAUUUUAAUUACGCUGUUAAUUCUCUCUCUCUCUCUCUCUCUCUCUCUCUCUCUCUCUCUCCCCCUAUAUAUAUAUAUAUAUAUAUAUAUAUUCAAUAUUCAUAUAUUGUCUGGCUAUAUACGCUGUUAAUUCCAAUGGCGCAUGGGAGUAGAGACUGUGAAAUUCCCUCUAAUAUUCAUAUGCAUAGAAAAACAUACACAUUUUUUUUUUAAGUUUAGCAUAUUAAACUUAUACACACUACACAAAUGCUAUGACUCAACUCUAGAACCUUCCAUAAAAAAGCUAUUAUUCUAAAUCACUACACUAGUUGAUCUUUUUUUUUUAAAAAAAAAAACACACAUAAAGAGCCCCGUGCUUGGCCAAAAAAAAAUCUAAACCAAAUUUACUCUUUUUUUUUAUUUAUAGUAAAUUGAGCUUAGACCAAUAAAAUUCAUUUUAAGUUACCUACAACCCUUUCCUUUAGUUUUCUAUUUAAAAUACCCAAUUUUUUCAAAUAAUACCCGAUGAUUAUGAUCCAACUAAGCAAGUUACCUAAAAUAACUUAAAAUUUGAUUUAUUGUAUUUUUCGGAUUCCAAAACUACCCAUAUUUAUAAGUUAAUAAGUUAUAGGGGGUGUAACUAAUGACACCCGUUGAAUUUAGAAAGAUCUCCAAAUAGUUAUAAUGGAUGUAGGAACUAAUUCAAAAAUUUAUUUGAAAUUAAAUAUUAAAUUCCACAUUGAAGUAUUAUUAAUCUAUUUUACGACUAGUAAUCUAUUUUUGAAUUAAUGGUGUUUUUCUUCUAUGAAUUACGACUAGUAAUCUAUUUAAAGUAUUAGUAAUUUAAAUUCAAUAUUAAAUUUAGGAAUUAAUGUUGUUUUCUUUUUAUGAAUUAUACGACCGGUAUUCUUUUUAUUAUAGUUUUAUGAAUAAUAGUGUACGUUCUAAUUAUAUUGAAAAAUAAUUUGAUAAUCUAUUUAUUGUUUUGUUUUUAAAAUAUUUUUUUUAAUGAACCUAUUUUUCUCCAAAUAUUGUACCUAUUUUUUUCUUUUUUAUUGUUUUAUGAAAAUAUAUUUGAUCAUAUUUUUAUUGUUUGUUUUAUGAAAAUAUUUUUUUUACAUGAGCCUAUUUUUUCUCUCAAAAUAAUGUAUCAAUUUUUUUUCCUCUAAUAAUGUACCUAGUAAAACAAUUUACCUAGUAUGAUGAACCUAUUUUUUCUGCUGAAUUUUGUAUCUAUUUUUUUCUAUAAAUAAUGUACCUAUUUUUUUUCUCUAAUAAUGUAUACCUGGUAAAACAAAUUUUCUAGUAUAAUGAACUUAUUUUUUUCUUCUAAAUAAUGUGCAUAUUUUUAAUUUAUAAAAAUGUGUAUAAAUUUCAAUUAUACAACGUACCUAUUUUCUAUAAAUUAUUGUGUACCUAUUUUUAAUUUAUGAAAAAUGUACGAAAAUUUCAAUUACGAAGUAACUGACCUAUUUUUGUCAAAUUUUUUCGGUAAAUAAUAUACCGAUAUUGUUAUAGGUAUAUAUUUAUAUUUAUAUUUUUCAUAUGUGCAUUAUUGGAUAUGUAAUUUACAUAUUAUUUUUUUUAUUUGCAAUUUUAAGGGGCCAUAUGCUAGAGAGAAUGGCAACCGAAAGAAAUGGGGUGAUUGAUAUGCUAUUAAUAGGGAGUUUUAAUUACAAUUAUGGCAGUUAAUGAAAGGCUUGGAAUAAAUUAUAAAUAAAAUAUGAAGUUUGAUGGCAAUGAUGUAAAAACAUAUGAAUACUACGACCUCUUAUAUCCUACUGGUCAUUUAAGUUUGAAAUUGCGUUUUACACAUAAAUUUAUAGAAUGAUGGGUAUAUGCCUGGAAAAAUAGAAUUUGUAGGGCAUAUAUAGUAACAAAGAAAAACAACAAAAUAACAUAGCCCCCGUGCCCCAUUACCUUUGUGUCUCUCUCACCCACAUGGCAUGCAUGGUCUUGUUACCCGUAAACUAGUGGCAGGCAUGCACAGAUGGAUAUAAUUGUGAAUAUAUGCAUAAAGAGUCACAUGUAUACAUACACUCAUCCCUUUCAAUGACCAGGUCAUACCAAUAACAAGGCAUCAAUAUUGGAAGUGGUACACAAGCAUGGGCCAUGCUCUAUAUUCCACAAAUCAUCCAAAACUUCAACCACAAAAAGUGAUGACAAAUACCACGCUCAAAUCCUCAAGCAAGACGAAGCCCGAGUCAACUCAAUCCACUCCCGCCUCAACUACAGAAUCCACGACCCAUUCACCCAAUCCUCCGCCUCCGCCACCCUCCCAGCCAAGUCCGGUCUCCUUCUGGGCUCACCGAACUACUUAGUCACCGUCGGUCUCGGCACACCCGCCAAGCAACUCUCUCUCGAAUUCGACACCGGCAGCGACCUCACCUGGACCCAAUGCCGCCCAUGUCUUCGAUAUUGUUACACACAGAGCGAGCCCAUCUUCGACCCUUCUCUCUCUGCCUCAUACAAAAACUUAUCCUGUACAUCCGCCACGUGUACUCAACUCUCAUCCGCCGGCAUCCCACACCGUUGCUC
rnacentral:lncRNA from 1 species